AACGGUAAUGAACUGUACUCAAGCUACAUAAAAAUUGCAAAUUUAAAACGGCUGGGUUUUUUUUGUUCUGGUACAGCUCAUGGCGUUUCAAAUUUAAAAGAGUUUUAAACAUUAAUUUCAAAACGAAAAACAAAAACCUAAUAUCUCUCCUUCUCACCCGCUCCCUCAUUCCCAACCCUCCCUCUCGAUCUCUCUCUCACUCCAUCACUCUCGAUCUCUCUCCCUUUCUCCUACUCGCUCACCCCCAAUUCCCUCCCUCUCGAUCUCUCUCCCUCUCUCUCUCUCUCCCACUCCAUAAACAAAAGGAAACAAAAAGCCUUUUCCUUUUUAACCCUAAAACUCCCAUUCAAAAGCAUCUUCAACGCCGAUUCAUUCUAGGAUCGGAGGAAUUUUUGUUGGAGAAUCUCAACAAGAAGCCGAAAAGCUCGCUGAAAUCUUUAAAAUUCAUUACCAUAAUCAGACUUUUGGGUUUAUUUCGGACCUUUUAAAGACCGGAAUUGUCGAUCCGCGAUCCAACUAUUGAGGAUCUUCUGAAACUCCUUGGAAGGUGCCGAAAUUUACUCUCUCAAACAUAUCUGAAAGAAAAAAGGAAUUCUCAUUUUUAUUUUUUUUGGAUUUUCCAGUAUUUAUGUUGGAUAUCUACUCGAUUUUUUCCCUGACAAUCACUGAAAAUGUUGACAAUUUGGCCAUUUUAUCGAAAAAUCGAAAAAAAAAAUCAGCAAAAUCUUGCCAGUAUCCAGUAGAGAUUCGAAAAUUUGGGGGUUUUUGGUUUCACUGAGCCAACGAUAGUGAUAUUACUGGAGAUCUACCUUACAGACUGAUGGUGCUCAUGCCAAAUGAAUUCAAUGCCAGAAUGCAGGAAAAUGGCAGAGAGGAUUGGCAUAAGAUUCAACAUAUACCCUCAAUCGAAAUAAAACAGUGAGCUAUCAAAGGCUUGUGAAUUUGGUUGCUUGUUUCUUCCACCAACGGAAACGCAUGGAAGGGCAAAUUCAGCAUCUCUACAAAAGCGGUUUACACUACAACAAAUAUGGGAAUGGGCGCAUAGACGAUAUUUGUGGAAAUGACAGUGAGGCAAUUGGCAUCCCUAAAGCAUCACCUCCAGUAGGAUCAAGGGACAUUUUGGUCUUUUUAAAUAUAUUUGGAAUAGAUAGGGUUAAAAACAUGGAUGGUUAUAUAUAUAUAUAUAUAUAUAUAUAUAUAUAUGCUUUUCUUGCUUUGAGAAUAGUAUACAAACAAUUUAAAGAUUCAUGUCAUAUGUGAGCUUCCCUUUGUUACAUGUGCUGCCUAGAAUAGAAGAGUGGAGGAAUGUUAUGAUUGUUGGUAUAACAGAUUGCAGGCUGUUGGAUUUUAAUGGAUGUCAAUGCACUAUCCUUCAUAUUUACUUCUUUUGCAUCCGUGAAGGAAUUUUAUCGCUUGGACUUCAAGGAACUAAAGGUGGAUGGGUACAUAUGAUGUAGACCAAGUGGAACUCACUUAUUUGAAGGCCAAGUGGAUACUAAGUUUUGUCAUGUUAUGGAGAAAAGAAGUUCUAAGCCGAUUAAACUGUGAGUUUCUUCUAAGAUUGAUAUGUACAGUCACUUGCAAAAAUUACCUCAUUGUACCUUGAAACAGGCUUGCUCUUCUUUUUUCCUCUUCUUCUAUAUUUACAAAUUGCAGCUGGAAGAUCCAAAGGAUCAGAGCCUUCCAAGCAAAUUCCCGCUUCAAUAUCUUGAAAAUACACUUGAUGGAUAGACCAUUUUAUGCCGGAUCGCUGUUGCCGGAGUAGAGGUAAUCUUGUAUGUGAACUUUCACUGUGAAAAUAUGUUGAUGCAUUUGUGGAGCAGGCAUGGAUAUGACUACAUUGAAUUCUUAUACAAGGGUGUAAAAGGGUUUGAAGACAAGAAAAUGGUAAAUGGGUUCAAUUUGACGAUGACCAUCCAAUUCCAUAGAUGGAGGAAGACAUCACAAAGCUCUCGGGUGGAGGUGAUUGGCACAUGGCAUACAUUUGCAUGUAUAAAGCUCAAGGAGUUUAUAUUUAAAUUUAAUGGUAAGCCUAAGCUAAAGUACUUUUACACAGUCGAUCAAUGACUUACAUUUUGUGUAGAUGAGAAAGGAAAAGUAUGUGUUGUUGAGGCACUUGGUUUAUAA